rnacentral:rRNA from 1 species
UACGGAAGGCAGCAGUGGGGAAUAUUGCACAAUGGGCGCAAGCCUGAUGCAGCCAUGCCGCGUGUAUGAAGAAGGCCUUCGGGUUGUAAAGUACUUUCAGUCGUGAGGAAGGUGUUAAGGUUAAUAACCUUAGCAAUUGACGUUAGCGACAGAAGAAGCACCGGCUAACUCCGUGCCAGCAGCCGCGGUAAUACGGAGGGUGCGAGCGUUAAUCGGAAUUACUGGGCGUAAAGGGCACGCAGGCGGUUAAUUAAGUUGGAUGUGAAAUCCCCGGGCUUAACCUGGGAAUGGCAUUCAAGACUGGUUAGCUAGAGUCUUGUAGAGGGGGUAGAAUUCCAUGUGUAGCGGUGAAAUGCGUAGAGAUGUGGAGGAAUACCGGUGGCGAAGGCGGCCCCUGGCAAAGACUGACGCUCAUGUGCGAAAGCGUGGGGAGCAAACAGGAUUAGAUACC